UAUCCCCAAGUGAAAGGGAGAGCAAAGGAAGCAAAGAGAGAUAGAAAAGUAAGAAGCUAGGAUUGCAGUUUUUAAAGGUGAUUUCUCCAACUUUGAGUGAAAAAGGAUAUUGAUCUAAUCUCCAUAGAAGCUUGCACACACAAAGGUGAAAGUUCUUGCAUUGUAGGUGAAUAUGGAACUACAUAGAGAGCA